ACCAAAAUGCACAGGCUGUGAACUCGAAGAGUAGGGCGGGACACGUGGUAUCCUGUCUGAAUAUGGGGGGACCAUCCUCCAAGGCUAAAUACUCCUGACUGACCGAUAGUGAACCAGUACCGUGAGGGAAAGGCGAAAAGAACCCCGGCGAGGGGAGUGAAAAAGAACCUGAAACCGUGUACGUACAAGCAGUGGGAGCACCUUCGGGUGUGACUGCGUACCUUUUGUAUAAUGGGUCAGCGACUUAUAUUCUGUAGCAAGGUUAACCGUAUAGGGGAGCCGCAGGGAAACCGAGUCUUAACUGGGCGUUAAGUUGCAGGGUAUAGACCCGAAACCCGGUGAUCUAGCCAUGGGCAGGUUGAAGGUUGGGUAACACUAACUGGAGGACCGAACCGACUAAUGUUGAAAAAUUAGCGGAUGACUUGUGGCUGGGGGUGAAAGGCCAAUCAAACCGGGAGAUAGCUGGUUCUCCCCGAAAGCU
rnacentral:rRNA from 1 species